rnacentral:rRNA from 1 species
ACAGUGUCUGGUGGGUAGUUUGACUGGGGCGGUCUCCUCCUAAAGAGUAACGGAGGAGCACGAAGGUUGGCUAAUCCUGGUCGGACAUCAGGAGGUUAGUGCAAUGGCAUAAGCCAGCUUGACUGCGAGCGUGACGGCGCGAGCAGGUGCGAAAGCAGGUCAUAGUGAUCCGGUGGUUCUGAAUGGAAGGGCCAUCGCUCAACGGAUAAAAGGUACUCCGGGGAUAACAGGCUGAUACCGCCCAAGAGUUCAUAUCGACGGCGGUGUUUGGCACCUCGAUGUCGGCUCAUCACAUCCUGGGGCUGAAGUAGGUCCCAAGGGUAUGGCUGUUCGCCAUUUAAAGUGGUACGCGAGCUGGGUUUAGAACGUCGUGAGACAGUUCGGUCCCUAUCUGCCGUGGGCGCUGGAGAACUGAGGGGGGCUGCUCCUAGUACGAGAGGACCGGAGUGGACGCAUCACUGGUGUUCGGGUUGUCAUGCCAAUGGCACUGCCCGGUAGCUAAAUGCGGAAGAGAUAAGUGCUGAAAGCAUCUAAGCACGAAACUUGCCCCGAGAUGAGUUCUCCCUGACCCUUUAAGGGUCCUGAAGGAACGUUGAAGACGACGACGUUGAUAGGCCGGGUGUGUAAGCGCAGCGAUGCGUUGAGCUAACCGGUACUAAUGAACCGUGAGGCUUAACCUUACAACGCCGAAG